rnacentral:tRNA from 1 species
GGGCCUCUAGCUCAGUUGGUUAGCAGCAGCCGGCUCAUAACCGGCCGGUCCUCGGUUCGAGUCCGAGGGGGCCCACCA